rnacentral:rRNA from 1 species
AAUAUUGCACAAUGGAGGGAACUCUGAUGCAGCGACGCCGCGUGAGUGAUGAAGGCUUUCGAGUCGUACAACUCUGUCCUUGGGGACGAUAAUGGCGGUACCCAAGGAGGAAGCCCCGGCUAACUACGUGCCAGCAGCCGCGGUAAUACGUAGGGGGCAAGCGUUAUCCGGAAUCAUUGGGCGUAAAGGGUGCGUAGGUGGUCAAUAAAGUCAGAGGUGAAAGGCUACGGCUCAACCGUAGUAAGCCUUUGAAACUUAUUGACUUGAGUGCAGGAGAGGAGAGUGGAAUUCCUAGUGUAGCGGUGAAAUGCGUAGAUAUUAGGAGGAACACCAGUGGCGAAGGCGACUCUCUGGACUGUAACUGACGCUGAGGCACGAAAGCGUGGGUAGCGAACA